CCUACGGGCGGCAGCAGUAGGGAAUAUUGGUCAAUGGAUGCAAGUCUGAACCAGCCAUGCCGCGUGCAGGAAGAAGGCCUUCUGGGUUGUAAACUGCUUUUGCCAGGGGAUAAAAUGGCCAUGCGUGGCUAAUUGAAGGUACCUGGUGAAUAAGCCACGGCUAACUACGUGCCAGCAGCCGCGGUAAUACGUAGGUGGCGAGCGUUGUCCGGAUUUAUUGGGUUUAAAGGGUGCGUAGGCGGCCUUGUAAGUCAGUGCUGAAAUAUCCCGGCUUA
rnacentral:rRNA from 1 species